UACGUAGGGGGCAAGCGUUGUCCGGAUUUAUUGGGCGUAAAGAGCGUGUAGGCGGUUUGGUAGGUCCGCUUGUGAAAACUCGAGGCUCAACCUCGAGACGCCGAGUGAAACCAUCAGACUAGAGUCCGGAAGAGGAGAGUGGAAUUCCUGGUGUAGCGGUGAAAUGCGCAGAUAUCAGGAAGAACACCCGUGGCUAAGGCGGCUCUCUAGUACGGUACUGACGCUGAGACGCGAAAGCGUGGGGAGCGAACAGG
rnacentral:rRNA from 1 species